rnacentral:rRNA from 1 species
UACAGAGGAGCCAAGCGUUGUCCGGAUUGACUGGGCGUAAAGCGCACGCAGGCGGCACCGCGCGUGGGGUGUGAAAUCUGGCCGCUUAACGGCCAGGCGCCAUCCCAUACGGCGGAGCUGGAGUGAUGCAGAGGUCGGUGGAAUUGCCGGUGUAGUGGUGAAAUGCGUAGAUAUCGGGAGGAACACCAGUGGCGAAGGCGGCUUCCUGGCCUGUUCUUGACGCUGAGGCGCGAAAGCUAGGGUAGCAAACGGG